UACGUAGGGUGCGAGCGUUGUCCGGAAUUAUUGGGCGUAAAGAGCUCGUAGGCGGUGUGUCGCGUCGGUCGUGAAAACUUGGGGCUUAACUCUGAGCUUGCGGUCGAUACGGGCAUCACUUGAGUUCGGCAGGGGAGACUGGAAUUCCUGGUGUAGCGGUGAAAUGCGCAGAUAUCAGGAGGAACACCGGUGGCGAAGGCGGGUCUCUGGGCCGAUACUGAC
rnacentral:rRNA from 1 species